AGUGCUUAUUGUCGGUCCCCGGGCCGUUAGGGGGUGACGUAUUUAUCCCGUUAAACGUUGACUGGCGAAUUAAGCUUGAAGUGGCGGCUUCACAUAAAAUAAUGAAAACCUGAGCGAACCCAAAACGCUGAGGAACAUGGCAGCCCGUUCUUUAUUAGCAAAAUCACAAGAAUAGCGGCCUGGCACCUACGGACCUCAGGGUUCCAAUAACAAACAGAAGCUGCAAGACAUCCUGAGGACUGGGCUCACUGCCUACACAUUCAUUUUGGCAAAAUUCUAUUGGUCAAGCAAAUAACAAAGCCAUGCCAAGAAUCCAGGAAGAGGAGAUCACUUCUUGGACAAAGGGAAUGACUGUAGCCGGCACUUCCUGCUCUGUGCAGCAAUGGUCUCCGACGCCUCCAGUGCGUGGAAUGUUCCAGCCGGCCUGAGACCACAGAGCUGCCGCUCGAGGCAGACACCUGUUCCGAGAGUUCUGUGGGCUCUGCAACGAUUACCAGCUUCCAGAAGGAAAAGAACGGCUCACAGAGGGGACUUGACCACUACUAGCUUCAGUAGUGAGUGCACUUCAGGGUCCCCAUAAGGUAUUGAGCAGAAGAAACUUGGAGGAUGUGAACUGAAUUGCGAGAUGCUCCAGGUGUCCAUUUGCCUUCUGGACUAGAUGCUGUGCUUACUUCUUUGGAUCAACUUGACUCUCCCUUGGCAAAUACACACUUACGACUUGAACCUGUUUGGCCUAGGUGAGCAGGGAUCUCGUGCUCAAAACCGACAUGAACCUGACAGGUCAGCAGGUAGCACUGCAGGUAAGAGUGAGAUUUCCAGGAUGCCUUCUGCCAGGUGCUGGGAGGAUGGAAAGGCCUGGCCGCAGAUCUGGAGCUUCCGUCAGGUCACACAACUGGUGCUGUUUCCUUUCUGCACUGUUGGCUAUUGACAGGAAGGGCAUUGUCUUACUCAGCUUGGCACACAAUGCUAACUCCAUUGCCUGGCACACAGUGCUCAGUAAAUACUAGGCAUAUUCAUACUUGGUGGGGUCCUUCCAGAGCCAUUCAAUCCACAUAGGCCUCCAAGUUUCCGUCACAAGAAGGACUCUCCGUAGCAGGUGAGCGGCAUCUGUGCUUUUCUCCUGAGUCCCCUGUACCAUUUCUCACUUUAUUCUUCUUGCCCCUUUAGCUUAAUGUGGAGGAACAGACUAAAAUUUCCUCCUCCUGUCCUGCUCAGGCCUUCCCACCCCUUCCCACCAGUAUGACAUAUUCUGUAGUGUGUCUACUUUGCCUUGACAUUCUGCUUCCUGUAUCUGCCUUUGCACCUGCUAUUCUCUCUGCUGAAAACUUCCCCUUCCCCUCCAAAGUCAACUCCUAUCCAUCCCUCCAGACCGAGAGGUCACUAAAGUAGUAAACCUGAGAGAUUUGGAACCAGCAAGGUACAAGAUGUUCCUUGUAUCUGAGUAGCAUUGCAUCCCUCCACCCAACUGUGCCUACCACAGCCCAGGCAGGAGCCAACCUGCCUGCCCCCACAUGUGAACUAUCACCAAGCCUGCUUAGGUCCAUGGAUUUUUGACCCAAAGGGCUCUCAUUCUCACUGCCACUGUUGGGACCUAACCUAAUCCCUAAGUCUACUGAACCUCUCGUGAACCUCCAAAAUGGGGUGUGGUGGAGAGCUGGAGGGCCCCAGAGCAACAGGUGUAAAGUGGGCUGGCUCUAGGCAAACCCGGUGAACCAGGAUCUACAACCACCCUCAACUCUAGCCUGGCUCAUGUCUCCAUCACCUCUCGCCUGGUCUCCCUGCUCCCAAUCUUGCCUUACCCAUUCUAUAACUUCAUACAACAGUCAAGAGAUCUAUUUAGUACAUUUGUUAGCCAGCUGUCCAUCUCUAUAACAAAUAUCAGAGAGGCUACUUAUGAAGUUUACUUUGGUUUUGGAGGUUCACAGUCCAAGAUCAGGUGGCUCUGUUGAUCUCGUCUCCAGUAACAGGGUGGCUGGCAGAGGGUGUGCAGAGAAGGAUCCCAUGGCAAGCAGAGAGCAACUGGGCUUGAUUCAGGCUUAUCUAACCCAACCUCCAGGCUUUUUUCUCCAAGAGCUGAAUGGAUAAACUGUGGUACUUCCAGAAAAUGGAAUAUUAUUCAGUGCUGAAAGGAAAUAGGCCAUCCAGCUCUAUGAAGCUAUAAGAAAACCUACACACAUAUUGCUAAGUCAAAGAAGCUGAUUUGAAAAAGGUACAUACCAAGUGAUUCUAACUUAAUGACAUUCUGGAAAAGACCAAACUACAGAGACAGUGAAAGGAUCAGUGGUUAGAACUGAGGAAGGGAGGCUGGUGGUGUGGCAUAUCAGGUUAAACCACUGCCUGCAACACUGUCAUCCCAUAUAGGCACCAGUUCGAGUCCCGGCUUUUCCACUUCUUCUCUGUGCUGAUGUGCCUGGGAAAGCAGUGAAAGAUGGCCCAAAUGCUUGGGCCCCUGCACCCACGUGGGAGACCUGGAAGAACCUACUGGUUCCUGGCUUUGGCCUGGCUGAGCCCUGGCUGUUAGGGCCAUUUGAACCAGCAGACGAACAAAAUCAAUCUCUCUCUCUCUCUCUCUCUCUCUCUCUCUCUCUCAUUCUCCCUCUCUAUGAACUCUAUAUUUCAAAUAAAUAAAUAAAUAAAUCUUUACAAGUGAGGAAGGAAGGAGUAGGUGGAUCAUAAUGAUGAAACUUUGCUGGUAUACAUUUGUCCAAACCCAUAGAAUGUACAAUACCAAGAGUGAACACUAACGUAAACUCUGGACUCAGGGUGGCAAUGAUCUGUCGAUGUAUGUUCAUGGAUUGUAACAAUCCAUGCUCUUAGGGUGAGGAAUAUCCUCAGUAGGGGAGGCUGCAAGUAUGUGGGAGCAGAGGGGUUGUGGUAAAUCUCUGAAUCUCCCACUCAAUUUUGCUUUGAACCUAAAACCACACUACAAAAAAAAAGUAUUUUAUAAAAAAAAAAAAAAAAGCACAACUCCAUGGUUCUUGUCCCCAUCUCUCUGGUAUUCUUUUUUUUUUUUUUUUAAUUAUUUUUAUUUUUUUUACAGGCAGAGUGGACGGUGAGAGAGAGAGACAGAGAGAAAGGUCUUCCUUUGCCGUUGGUUCACCCUCCAAUGGCCACCGCGGCCAGCGCGCUGUGGCCGGCGCACCGCGCUGAUCCGAAGGCAGGAGCCGGGUGCUUCUCCUGGUCUCCCAUGGGGUGCAGGGCCCAAGGACUUGGGCCAUCCUCCACUGCACUCCGUGGCCACAGCAGAGAGCUGGCCUGGAAGAAGGGCAACUGGGACAGAAUCCGGCACCCCGACCAGGACUAGAACCCGGUGUGCCGGCGCCACAAGGAGGAGGAUUAGCCUAGUGAGCCGCGGCGCCGGCCCUCUCUGGUAUUCUUAACCUUGUCCCCAGUAACCUUAAACCUCCUGUGUGGUAAAACAUCGUGCUGUUAUAUCAUCGCGGACUGUGCCUGAUUCAGUUGUUCAUGGGGUAAACUUCGAGAGUCUGGCACUCAAAUGAGGUUUUGGUUACUAAGAAAGAGUUUUCUCCCAAAACUGUUUGUUCUGCCUUGAGCCUCGAAAGUCUGCUUUCACAACUUAUUUUUACGCGUUGUUUUCCUUCCCAAAGGCAGUAAACACAUCUCAUAGCCAGAUUCAGUGGUGGAAGGGAGGUGGAAUAAAGAACUAAUGAGGAUGCACAUAUAUGUCAAAAUACUAGCCUUGUACAUAGGCACACGCAACAAACACACAGACACUUUUUAGAACAAUGGAGGUGGGAGUUGGCCUAGCAGUUAUGUACCACUAGUUAGGUGAACUCCAGAACAUCUGAAGAUGAAGUGGAAUGCUGUACAAAAAAUAAAAGCCUUGUAGGUCUAUGUUAUUGACACAGAAACAUAUGGGGGGCAGGGGCUGGCGCUGCGGCAUAGCGGGUAAAACUGCCACCUGCAGUGAUGGCAUCUCAUAUGGGUGCUGGUUCAAGCCCUAGCUGCUCUAUUUCCGAUCCAGCUCUCUGCUGUGGCCUGGAAAAGCAGUAGAAGAUGGCCCAACUGCUUGGGCCCCUGACCUGCCUGGGAGACCUGGAAGAAGCUUCUGGCUCUUGGCUUUGGAUCAGCGCAGCCCUGACUGUUGUGGCCAUCUGGGGAGUGAACCAGCAGAUGGAGGACCUCUCUCUCUCUCUGCCUCUGCUUCUCUGUAACUCUGCCUUUCAAAUAAAUACAUAAAAUCUUGAAAGAAAGAACGAGAGAGAGAGGGAGGGAGGGAGGGAAGAGAGAGAGAGAGAAAGAGAGAGAGAGAGAGAGAGAGAGAGAGAGAGAGAGAGAGAAUGUGUGGGUCUGUUCCUAAGGUUGAAAAAAAAAAACCAACAAACCCAAACUGGGAUCCUGCAGACACGCCAGCCAUUUGCAGAGUGAAACAGCAGGCAGGGGCUCUCUCUCUCUCACUCUCUGUAACUCUCUCAAAUAAAAUAAAUCUAAAUAACAAUAAUAUUAAUAAUAAUAAGUUCAUGGAGGGACAGCCAUUUAGCCAGCAUCUUAAGAUGCCUGAGUGCCAUAUCGGAGUUCCUGGAUUCCAUUCUCAGCUCUGGCUCCUGACUCCGGCUCCCUGUCAAUUGCACCCUGGGAGGCAGCAGGUGACGGCUCAAGUAGCUGGUUUCCUGCCACCCACGUGGGAGACCUGCAUUGAGUUCUUGGCCCCUGGCUUCAGUGUCCCCAGUUGUUGCUGACAUCUGGGGAGUGAAACAGUGGAUAAAAGCUGCCAGUCUGCUAGUCUUUCUCUCUCAUCUCUCAAGUAAAUAAAAAUUUUAAGAAAUUUUUAAGUUUGUGGAAAUGUGGAAUUAAGUGUAAGUUUAUUUUUUGACAUUUCCUGUGGUAGGAACACAGGGAAUGUUAUUUUUGCCCACGUACACUUUGCUAUGGUCUCUAUGUGUCCUUCCAGAACCCCAUUUGCAAACAGGUCACGUUCUGAGGUUGGUGAGGGUUAGACACCAAGAGACCUGUUUUUAGGGGGACACAUUUGAGCCCAUAUUAAAAAUAUUAAAACUAGAAAAAACGAUGGAUUUCUGAAAACUACACAUCAGACUACGGUGGGAUUUUAACCUUCAAUGUGUAGAGAACACCACUCCCUGGGAAUACGAACUCUCCAACUGUUUCCUUUCUCUUUUUAAAGAUUUAUUUAUUGGCUGGCGCCACAGCUCAAUAGGCUAAUUCUCCGCCUGCGGCACUGGCACACCGGGUUCUAGUCCUGGUCGGGGCGCUGGUUCUGUCCCGGUUGCCCCUCUUCCAGGCUAGCUCUCUGCUGUGGCCAGGGAGUGCAGUGGAGGAUGGCCCAAGUCCUUGGGCCCUGCGCCCGCACGGGAGACCAGGAGAAGCACCUGGCUCCUUGCUUCGGAUCAGCGCGAUGGGCCGGCCACAGAGCAACGGCUGCAGUGGCCAUUGGAGGGUGAACCAACGGCAAAGGAAGACCUUUCUCUCUGUCUUUCUCUCUCACUGUCCACUCUGCCUGUCAAAAAAAAAAAAAAAAUUUAUUUACUAGGGCCAGCGCUGUGGCAUAGCAGAUAAAGCCAUCACCUGCAGUGCCUGCAUCCCUUUAUGGAUGCUGGUUGCAGUCUUAGCUGCUCUACUUCCAAUCUAGCUCCCUGCUUACGUCCCUGGGAAAGCAGUAGAAGAUGGCCCAAGCGCCUCAGUCCCUGCACCCACGUGGGAGACUUGGAAGAAGCUCCUGACUCCUGGCUCCAGCCUGGUCCUGUCCUGGCUGCUGUGGCCAUUUAGGAAGUGAAUCAGUGGGUGGAAGA